GACGAACGCUGGCGGCGUGCCUAAUACAUGCAAGUCGAACGCAGUGGGGACUGGUGAGUAACACGUGGGUAACCUCCCAUCAGAGGGGAGAACCCUUGGCAACAGGUGCUAAACCGAUACUGAUGGAUGGACCCGCGGUGCAUUAGCUAGUUGGUGAGGGAACGGCCCACCAAGGCCACGAUCCAUAACCGGCCUGAGAGGGGGAUCGGCCACACUGGGACUGAGACACGGCCCAGACUCCUACGGGAGGCAGCAGGAGGGAAUCUUCGGCAAUGGGCGAAAGUCUGAACGAGCAACGCCGCGUGAGUGAAGAAGGUUUUCGGAUUGUAAAACUCUGUUGUUAGAGAAGCGGUAUCUAACCAGAAAGCCACGGCUAACUACGUGCCAGCCGCCGCGGUAAUUC
rnacentral:rRNA from 1 species